AGUUAAUUAGCUUAUUAAGCAUUUAUUUUGAAAGUAAAAGGAAAGAGAUUUAACUCUAUUAACUU
rnacentral:tRNA from 1 species